CUGUUUCUCUUUCUCUCUCCCUCUCUUGCGCUGUCCCUCAUUCAUGCACUCUUCCAUCUUUUUGCCAUUGUGCCAGCUCAAUUUAAAUGUAUCUGCUCUGUAUCUGUUCAAGUGGAGAUAAUCCAUGCAAAUCAGGAGCCGUGGCUCUCAAUGCCUGGUUCACAGAGAGGACUCAGCUUGAGGAGGUCACUCGUUCACAGCCGCUCCUCCCAUUAUAUUUUUCCCCUUAUUGCAGAACUGCUGUAUGUAUACAGUGACUGAAAGGACUCAAUUUACUGCAACUGCUGCCUGGCUUUACUUACAACUUUUUUUUUUUUAUAAAGGAACUUACCUCCAUCUGUCUUUUCAAGGUUACAGACCACUUACUCUAAACUUCACAAAUGGUUCUGAAGAGUAUGGAGCCUACGUAGAUUCAUAAGAGCCCAAUGUUUCCAAAGGACAUUAAUUUUGAUUUCUCCAAUGAAGGCUUGUGGCUGUCCUUAUGCUUUACAAAACAUUACCAAAUCAGAGCCGAAAAGAAAACUUUGGAAUUUGAAGAGAGCUUGAUAACUGUGUUCUAUGUGGAUCCAGCAUUACAACUGAUAAGUGAAAGAAAAGAAAGAAAACAUGGAGGGGAAGGUGAUAGGAAGAUGGAGGCAGAGAUUGGAGUGAUGCGUCUACAAGUCAAGGGAAACCAAGGAUUGCUAACAGCUGUACAAACUUAGGAGAGAGACAUGGAACAGAUUUUCCAUCGAAGCCUCCUGAAGAAACAAAACUUACAACUUGAUUUUGGAUUUCUUGCCUCCAUGACUGUGAGAGAAUAAAUUUCUGUUGUUUUAAGCCACCCA
rnacentral:lncRNA from 1 species